CCUCCUGCCACAGUCCAGGGUAGGAGAUACUUCUCCAGGCUCUCACUUAUGGGGGCUUUCCUGCUGGCUACAUCACUGAAAUGGAAUCUCCUAGUGGCCCUUCUCCCUCUACAGCUCUGGUGUUACACUGAAAAACUAGAAGUUUCAAAACAGACAAGGGAAAAAGAGAAACAUCAGAAAGUCUGAUUAAAGUAGAAGCAUCAUAUUUCUAUCAACGUAUCCACUGUGCUUGGACUCUGUAAUAUUCACCGGCAGGAAAACCCAAGGGAAUGACUACUAUGACAUCUGAUGGUCUACUCUGUGAAAAGGAAAUGAUCAUACAUAAUUCAUGCAUUUGCUGUACGGAUUUAAUUAAAUGAUAGACAAAAAGUAGAGUGGCACAAGUCAAACUCAAAAAAUAGUAACAACAAAAUCAAUUUCAAAAUAAGCAACAGCAAUAAAUGUUACCUACUAUUUUACGAAUGAAAAUACUGAGACCAAUAAAGGCAUUAUAGUAUACAUAGCCUUGGAAUCAGAAGACCAAGAAACAAUUUAACUCUGCCCCUCUAGAGCUCUGAGAACUUGGGCAAGCCUUUUACCCUCUUGAAUUUUUGCCACCUUCAAUGAGAAAGACUGAAACAAAAAACUCAGAAGAAAGAAAGAGACUGAGAUAGCAAAUAUGACAAACUGUUAAAAAUUCAUGAAUCUGUUAUGGAAUACUAUGCAGCCAUAAAAAAGGAUGAGUUCCUGUCCUUUGCAAGGACGUGUAUGAAGCUGGAAACCAUCAUUCUGAGCAAACUAAAACAGGAACAGAAAACCAAACACCACAUGUUCUCACUCAUAAGUGGGAGUUGAACAAUGAGAACACAUGGACACGGCGGGGUGGUGGGAACAUCACACACCGGGGCCUGUCAGAGGGGAGGGGGCUAGGGGAGAGAUAGCAUUAGGAGAAAUACCUAAUGUAGAUGAUGGGUUGAUGGGUGCAGCAAACCACCAUGGCAUGUGUAUACCUAUGUAACAAACCUGCAUGUUCUGCACAUGUAUCCCAGAACUUAAAGUAUAAUAAUAAAAAGAGAGAUUAAAAAAAUUGGUGAAUCUGGGCAAAAUGUACACAGGAUUUUUCUGUACUGUUCUUGCAACUUUUCUACAGAUUUGAAAUGUUACAAAAUAAA
rnacentral:lncRNA from 1 species